rnacentral:rRNA from 1 species
UACGUAGGGUCCGAGCGUUGUCCGGAAUUAUUGGGCGUAAAGGGCUCGUAGGCGGUUUGUCGCGUCGGGAGUGAAAACACGGGGCUUAACCCCGUGCCUGCUUCCGAUACGGGCAGACUAGAGGUAUGCAGGGGAGAACGGAAUUCCUGGUGUAGCGGUGAAAUGCGCAGAUAUCAGGAGGAACACCGGUGGCGAAGGCGGUUCUCUGGGCCUGUACUGACGCUGAGGAACGAAAGCCAGGGGAGCAAACGGG